rnacentral:rRNA from 1 species
UACGAAGGGGGGCUAGCGUUGCUCGGAAUCACUGGGCGUAAAGGGUGCGUAGGCGGGUCUUUUAAGUCAGGGGUGAAAUCCUGGAGCUCAACUCCAGAACUGCCUUUGAUACUGAAGAUCUUGAGUUCGGGAGAGGUGAGUGGAACUGCGAGUGUAGAGGUGAAAUUCGUAGAUAUUCGCAAGAACACCAGUGGCGAAGGCGGCUCACUGGCCCGAUACUGACGCUGAGGCACGAAAGCGUGGGGAGCAAACAGGAUUAGAAACCCUAGUAGCUCGACGCAAGCA